AGAGCAAUCACCAACUUCCUCUUCUGGAUCACUUCUUCUAUCAGGUGCCUCCCAUUUCUCUGGAUCACCUCUGAGAUGUGUCUACACCCUGAUUGGACUCUACUGUGGUCAUAUUUGAGCUCGACCACGUAUCUGCAGUGGAAGGAAAGGAAACACGCUCAGACACAGAGAGCAGACGUUGAAAGGACAGAAGCAGCCUGACCAGGAGUUCAGGCACUAAACAUAUAUUGUAUGAUAAGUCGAUAUAUGUGGCCUAAUGAAUUUGAUUGGACAUUAUUUGGAAAAGCACACAUUGUCUAUAUGAGGUUUCACAGCUAACAAUGCAUAUCAGAGCCAAACAUUAAGCCAUGAGGUCGAAGGAACUACCAGCAGAGCUCCCCGGCGGGAUUGUGUCGAGGCACAGAUCUCCAUACUUCUUAAAUGUAAGAGGUUUGUAACAACCAGGAUUGUUCCUGGAGAUGGCAACGUGGCCAAACUGAGCUAAAAACGAAGAUCACUCUAACUGAGCUCCAGAGAUCCUGCGAGGAGAUGGGAGAAACUUCCAAAAGAACAACCGUCAGCAACACUCACAUCAAUGAGUGGCCAGAGGGAAGCCUGCGUGGAGCUCGCAUUAAAGCAAAACCCUCAAGGACUCUCAGACUGUGAGAAAAGAUUCUCUGGAAACCAAGAUUGAACUGUUUGGCUUCGAUUCUAAACAUCAUGAUUGGAGGAGGAAACAAGGCACCGCUCAUCCAACAGUGCAGCAAUGUGGGGGCGUUUUUCAGUGGCAGGGACUCGGGGGAACGCUGAGAGAUGAGAUAUUCUUAAUGGAAACUCAGGACCUGGUAUACACUGACAUACACAUAUACACUAUAUAUACAUUAUAUAUAUAUAUAAAAAUAAUGUAUAUGUAUAUUUAUAGCCUAGAUUACCUGUGCAAUCUACAUUAUACACAUAUACAUAUACAUUUAUUUCCACUACCUCCUGCUGUGACCUGUGCAAUGUCACAUACCAAUCACAUCUGUACCUAAAAAUCUUAUUUUUCUAUUAUAUCUUGUAUUUUAUCUCCUCUUAUGUAAUGUGUGCUCUGUAAUCCAAUGUGUUGUUAUCUGGGGCUGCUGCAGCCUGUGAAUUCCCCCAGAGAGGGAUCAAUAAAUCUUAUCUCACUUUGUAUUUCAGCAUCUAUAAUCAACUAAAACACCAGUAAAAUAACAGCCAGCUCCUUUAUCAGCAACCUGCAGGUCAGUGUGCAGCUCCACGGGGGGUUAAAGACGACACCUGAACGAGCCCAGUCCACACACAGCACCGACAGCACCGACACGAACCGACAGCACCGACACGAACCGGUCCCAGGUGAUGUUGAACGGGGCCUUGCGGGCAGAGACGAUAGGUUCAUCUUUACCGGCUGCAACAAUUAGACCCACAAAUAAAAGAGCUGUUGACUGGAAGUGGGGUCAGUCCCCCCCUCGAACCGGGCUCUCCAGUGCUCUCCGGUACCGGGUUUAGGGCUUGACACGGAUCUUAUUCGGCUCUGGUUCGUCGCCGCCGUGAAGCCGGAUUGUGGUACCGGCUCCGGCUCCGGUUGGGGUGAUAAUAACGGAAGAAGACAUGUUUGUGGUCGGUCAGAGGACUGGUUCUUCUCUUCGAGGCUCAGAGAAAUAAAUCCGACACCGGACCGGACUUCAACAACGACACCGGGGCAACUGUGACUUCAGACGCACCUAUUUGUGCAUUUAUUCAAUAUGUUUACACUGUUAGUGCACAUGCGUGUGUGCCAUAACAGUGCACACGUCCAGCUGCAGCAUGUAUUAAAACGAACACUUUAAAUCUGCACACUAAUAUAGGAAAUAUCAUAUAUUCAAGUGCUUCUUACCUUUAACAAAUUAGACGUCGCCAUGUUUUUCAACUUAUCACCCCGCAGAAUCUCGCGAGACUGGAUUAGGUCAUAGUAACCCUGCGCACUGAAAUUCACUUUAUUGUGAAUAAAAACACAAUAAAUUAAUAGACACUGUUUUCUAACGUUACAUCAUUCUUUUUAAAGGAUGUGCAUUUAGUACGCAAGUAAAAACAAAGAGUCACUGCCUCUACAUCAUCUACAUCUGGAGUUGUACCACUUAUUCACACUUAUUUGCACAAGACAUUUGCAUAGUCUACCAUAGUGUAAUUAGUCUACUGUGCAAAGCUUUUGAGCAUGAUUUAAUUUAAAUUUCCUUUCCUUUCUAAAUGCAAAUAUAUUCCUCAGGGGAUCAUAAAAUGUAAUGUUGUGAUUUGUCUGGAUGUCCACAGCUACUGUUGCUGACAAUGACAGUAACAUACAUUGUCAACAAUAGCAGGAAAGAAAAAAGAAAUUAGUGGUGAGAUAAAUACAAAUUUUAAUGACUUUAGGAGGCAAAACAAUACAAAAUGCUAUCCAUCUACCCAUGUUCUUUAAUGUAUGGCAUUAAAUAUAUAAUGAAUUUAUAUCAAAUAAAAACAAACAGUAAGAGUUUUCCAGUAGACCAAGUUCAGUUUUUGACAUUUUACUUCUGUUCAAACAUUUUAUUUUGCACACAUUCACUGUUCAACUGUUAAUAUUCUCAUUGUCUGCCUUUACUUGUGAUACAGGUGUCUACAGUAUGGAUGUGGUACACUGUCCUCUGGUGG